UUUCGCUUGAAUGUUCGUGCAUGGAAUAAUAGAAGAGGAUUUUCGGUCCGAUUUUAUUGGUUUUGCUGACCGAGAUAAUGGUUAACAGAGACAAACGGGGCCAUUCGUAUUGCUACGUGAGAGGUGAAAUUCUUGGACCGUAGCAAGACGGACUACAGCGAAAGCAUUUGGCAAGAAUGUCUUCAUUAAUCAAGAACGAAAGUCAGAGGUUCGAAGGCGAUCAGAUACCGCCCUAGUUCUGACCGUAAACGAUGCCAACUAGCGAUCCGCCGGCGGAUUUAUUCGCCCUGGUGGGGAGCUUCCCGGAAACGAAAGUCUUCCGGUUCCGGGGGAAGUAUGGUUGCAAAGCUGAAACUUAAAGGAAUUGACGGAAGGGCACCACCAGGAGUGGAGCCUGCGGCUUAAUUUGACUCAACACGGGGAAACUCACCCGGCCCGGACACCGUAAGGAUUGACAGAUUGAUAGCUUUUUCAUGAUUCGGUGGAUGGUGGUGCAUGGCCGUUCUUAGUUCGUGGAGCGAUUUGUCUGGUUUAUUCCGAUAACGAGCGAGACUCUAGCCUACUAAAUAGUUGGCUCAUUGCUUCUGUGGGCACAACUUCUUAGAGGGAUUUUCGGUGUUCAGCCGCACGAAAUUGAGCAAUAACAGGUCUGUGAUGCCCUUAGAUGUCCGGGGCUGCACGCGCGCUACACUGGCAAAAUCAGCGUGCUUGUCCUUCCCCGAAAAGGGGUUGGUAAACCGGUGAAAAUUUGCCGUGGAUUGGGAUCGGACAUUGCAAUUAUUGUCCGUGAACGAGGAAUUCCUUUGUAGGGGGCGAGUCAUCAACUCGCUCUGAAUACGUCCCUGCCCUUUGUACACACCGCCCGUCGCUGCCCCGGGACUGAGCCAUUUCGAGAAAUUCGGGGACGGUUAGUGUUCCGGCUUCGGUCGGUAUGCAGACUGGAACCGAUUUAAUCGCAGUGGCUUGAACCGGGCAAAAGUCGUAA
rnacentral:rRNA from 1 species